AGUCGAACGGUUGUAGCGAUACAUACUGGCGCACGGGGGCGUAACACGUAUGCAACCUACCUUAUAGACCGGGAUAGGCUUUGAUAAACCGACAUUAAUACGCCGAUAGUACUAUUGACUGCCAUCAAUUAAUAUUUAAAGAUUUAUCGGUAUAUCGCUGGGCAUGCGUCCAAUUAUAUUAGAUGGUUAAGUAACGGCUGACCAAGACCACGAUUGCUACGAGAACUGAGAGGUCUAAUCCCCCACACUGGCCCCUGAUGAUACCGGACACACUCCUACGAGCAGCGUAGCAGAAGGGAAUAUUGGGAAAUGGAGGGAACGUCUGACCCACCCGUGCCGCGUG
rnacentral:rRNA from 1 species